GUGCACGGGCACAGGAGCUGGGCAGCCAGAGCUGUAGGUGGGACACGGAGCAGCGCAAGGGGGCCGAGGGUGAAGGCCAGGGUCAUGGAGACGGAGGCAGGAGACCCUUCCCGUUCAUCGCCCCCUGCGCGCCGUCUGUCCAUCUCGCUGAGGUUUCAUUCGGGCUCUGCAACACAGGCGGAGGCUGCAGUUGCCUUCUUGUUUCCCUGCUGUUUCGGGCCCUCUCCUCUCUCCAGGAUCGCUGAGGCCGAGGUUUGGUCCCCGGGCGCUUCCCUGGAAAGGGGACCGGCUCGGUGGCCGACUGAGCAGCUGUGCAAUGCCCAGCCCCAGGGACGGCGCUGAGGGAGGUGUGCCUGGAUCAGGGCCCCGGCGCAGAGCGCCAGCUGUCCCACCUAUCGCAAUGGUAGCAGGACCUAAUCCUCCUGUUAUCGUCUUUUAUUGCACGCAGUCAGAUAUUGCCGCACGUUACCAUCGCUCCUGGGUACUCCCUUCCUUGUGUGUGGCUGGCUUUGCUCCAUUUCACUGACUUGGCUUCAUUCCUUUCGUCUUCAGCUGCUUUUGCCUUCCCCGGGGGGUAGCUUCCAGUUCCAGACAUGAGAGAAGUUAGAAGGAUGUUGUGAAACGGAACCUAAAGAGAAGUCCACCGAGCUUCAUAAACAAGCAGGGAAAAAUCCAUGAAGGAGAUUGAGUGUAAGCGGGAGCUGUGGAAUUAAGGAAAGCCAAAAAAGUCUCCAGCCACCUGCUCCCGCUUGCGUUCCAGUCCAGUCAUCACCGGGGAUGGUGGCUUCCUCAGGCCGGUGCCCCCAGCAGUGGCAGGCUGGUAGCUGGAUAUCGAACACACCCGUCAAAGGCUUUGAUGGACCUUAAUCAGAGCAGAGUAAUCCAGAGACGUUUCCUUCAUCCUGCGGAACUGGAAGCAGAGCGGCUAUUAUACUUUCCCUGCCUUGUGCCGUCAGAGCAAGGUGAAGAAACUUCAGUGGAAAUGAGAAUCAGGCCCCAAACCUGUGUUGUUCCUCCCACCCUAGAGGUACUCCACAAUCUAUUGCAAACACCGCAAGCUGAAUCUGUGAGGCCUUGCUCUGUUAAAGACUAUCGUGUCCAAGGUGGAAGGACAGCCAAAAGGUCAGAAUAAAUAAACUGAAUACAAAAUUGCUUAAGGCAAUAAAAAGAGACCACAGGCUUUCAUUGCAGUUCUGACACGCACCAGAACAUACUUCAGGAUGUUAAAUAAGCUGGUUUUUGCGUUGCUGGGCUUAGCUGUUUUCCGCUGUUUCUCCCCCCGCUACCCCAAUACUUUGCUAAAACGAUCAGGCCUUAACUGCUUGGUAUCCCUUCCACAAACACGGGCUGCCUUUAUCACUGGCUUCACCGUGGUCAUUUGCACUGAAAAUACAUAAUCACUGUCAGAGUACAAAGAAUCAUUACGAAUAAUUAGUUACUUCCAAUAUGGCAAGUCAGUCUCAUAAAUCUUGAAUAUUUGGCUUUGGUUUUGGAAAGAGAUUCCUUAAUGGCUACACUUGUGAGACUCUGUUAAUUGGUAUAAAAUUGUAUUCAAAAUUAAAUUUGUUUUAACAGAUCUAAAUCACCCCAAUAAAUCAGCUUCAGCCUA